AUCAAGAGACGGUCGCAGCGUCUCUACAAAGACUGCGACAGUAACAAAGGUCGUGCCAGGAUCCGCCGCAAGAUCCGGGACGAGAGGGGGUUCCUGAGUUCUGUGGUGGAGAAGUACAACAGAAUGGUUCCCACAACAGAAACGCUGUGCUUUGAAACCAUUCUGUCUGGAGAGAGAGCUUGGCCAUGGCAGCUACCACACAGUGACUCUGUUGACCUUGGGACCAAGAGGAGAGCAUUUGACCUGGUCAUGGCAGGGAAAAUAAUCCAGGAGGAGAAAAUGAUUCUUCAGAGGGAGAUGAAUCAGCACUGGAGGUCUCUGGGGAAUCGUGCUGACUCCCUAAAAGAGCUGUCCUGCCUUGUUUCAAGGGCUACAACAGAACAUUCACCUUGGGGCCUUACUGAGGAAGGGUUGACUGGUCUACAGUGCAUGAUCAAAAAUAAAUGGCACUUCAUCACAGAAAUGAUGGCUAACGCGAGACACUGCUACAUACAAGUGUUGACUGCAGCAGAGGGAGCACAGAUGAUCAACUCCCAGGACACUUCUGAUGACUACUCGGACAAUGACUGACAUUUCGGAUGAUUCAUUUUAAACAAUGGCUAUGCUUUGAUGUAAACCAUUCCAUUGUAGUUCUGGUUGUAUGUUUAGGGUCGUUGCCCUGCUGGAAGGUGAACCUCCCCUCCAGCCUAAGGCCUUUUGCGGACUGCAACAGGUGUUCUGCCCUGUAUUUGCCCCAUCCAUCUUCUCAUCAACUCUGAGCAGCUUCCCUGUCUCUGCUGAAGAAAAGCACCCCCACUGCAUGAUGCUGCCACCACCAUGUUUCAAGUCGGGGAUGGUGUGUUGAGGGAGGGUGCAAUGUUCUGCAGCUGUGACGUUCUACAGCUGUCUGUAAAUUCUCAAGAGUAGGGGGUGAGCUAGUGAUGGCAGUGUGACACUGAAGCUUCGAUACGUGCUUCAAACCAACUCCCAAGAAGCACUGCUUCGAAGCUUGCUUCAGAGCAAAAGAAACCACGUGACAUGUGACGUCCGAAGCAGCAACUGGUUCGUUGCCUGAAUGAAUCACUUGACUGG